rnacentral:rRNA from 1 species
UGUCGUCAGCUCGUGUCGUGAGAUGUUGGGUUAAGUCCCGCAACGAGCGCAACCCUCGUUCCAUGUUGCCAGCACGUAAUGGUGGGGACUCAUGGGAGACUGCCGGGGUCAACUCGGAGGAAGGUGAGGACGACGUCAAAUCAUCAUGCCCCUUAUGUCUUGGGCUUCACGCAUGCUACAAUGGCCGGUACAAUGGGUUGCGAUACUGUGAGGUGGAGCUAAUCCCAAAAAGCCGGUCUCAGUUCGGAUUGGGGUCUGCAACUCGACCCCAUGAAGUCGGAGUCGCUAGUAAUCGCAGAUCAGCAACGCUGCGGUGAAUACGUUCCCGGGCCUUGUACACACCGCCCGUCAAGUCACGAAAGUCGGUAACACCCGAAGCCGGUGGCCUAACCCUUGUGGGGGGAGCCGUCGAAGGUGGGACCAGCGAUUGGGACUAAGUCGUAACAAGGUAGCCGUACCGGAAGGUGCGGCUGGAUCACCUCCUUU